rnacentral:tRNA from 1 species
CCCAUCUUGGCUCAGAGGUUAAAGCGUCUGCCUGCAAUGCGGGAGACCCGGGUUUGAUCCCUGGGUCGGGA